AGCGAACGCUGGCGGCAGGCUUAACACAUGCAAGUCGAACGGGCGUAGCAAUACGUCAGUGGCAGACGGGUGAGUAACACGUGGGAACGUACCUUUUGGUUCGGAACAACUGAGGGAAACUUCAGCUAAUACCGGAUAAGCCCUUACGGGGAAAGAUUUAUCGCCGAAAGAUCGGCCCGCGUCUGAUUAGCUAGUUGGUGGGGUAAGAGCCCACCAAGGCGACGAUCAGUAGCUGGUCUGAGAGGAUGAUCAGCCACAUUGGGACUGAGACACGGCCCAAACUCCUACGGGAGGCAGCAGUGGGGAAUAUUGGACAAUGGGCGAAAGCCUGAUCCAGCCAUGCCGCGUGAGUGAUGAAGGCCCUAGGGUUGUAAAGACUCUUUUAACGGGGAAGAUAAUGACGGUACCCGUAGAAUAAGCCCCGGCUAACUUCGUGCCAGCAGCCGCGGUAAU
rnacentral:rRNA from 1 species